GACGAACGCUGGCGGCGUGCCUAAUACAUGCAAGUAGAACGCAGUUGCGAACGGGAGAGUAACGCGUAGGUAACUGCCUGGUAGCGGGGGUUAAAUAUUGGAAACGAAAGCUAACACCGCAUACUACCAGAUGGACAUGCUUAGUAUUAGCUAGUUGGUGAGUUAACGGCUCAACAAGGCAACGAUACAUAGCCGACCAUAGAGGGUGAUCGGCCACACUGUGACUUAGACACGUCCCAGACUCCUACGGGAGGCAGCCGUAGGGAAUCUUCGGCAAUGGGGGGAACCCUGACCGAGCAACGCCGCGUGAGUGAAUAAGGUUUUCGGAUCGUAGAGCUCUGUUGUUAAGGAGGCGGUACUUAACCAGAAAGGGACGGCUAACUACGUGCCAGCAGCCGCGGUAAUAC
rnacentral:rRNA from 1 species